GGAUCGGUAGCUCAGUUGGAUAGAGCAACGGCCUUCUAAGCCGUNNCCGUGGGUCGGGGGUUCGAAUCCCUUCCGGUUCA
rnacentral:tRNA from 1 species